rnacentral:rRNA from 1 species
AUUGAACGCUGGCGGCAGGCCUAACACAUGCAAGUCGAACGAGUGGCGGACGGGUGAGUAAUGUCUGGGAAACUGACUGAUGGAGGGGGAUAACUACUGGAAACGGUAGCUAAUACCGCAUACCAUCAGAUGUGCCCAGAGGGGAUUAGGUAGUUGGUGGGGUAACGGCACACAAAGGCGACGAUCCCUAGCUGGUCUGAGAGGCUGACCGGCCACACUGGAACUGAGACACGGGCCAGACUCCUACGGGAGGCAGCAGUGGGGAAUAUUGCACAAUGGGCGCAAGCCUGAUGCAGCCAUGCCGCGUGUAUGAAGAAGGCCUUCGGGUUGUAAAGUACUUGUAGCGGAGAGGCGGUACCCGCAGAAGAAGCACCGGCUAACUCCGUGCCAGCAGCCGCGGUAAUAC